AACGAACGCUGGCGGCAUGCCUAACACAUGCAAGUCGAACGAGACCUUCGGUCUAGUGGCGCACGGGUGCGUAACGCGUGGGAACCUGCCUUUAGGUUCGGAAUAACUCAGAGAAAUUUGAGCUAAUACCGGAUAAUGUCUUCGGACCAAAGAUUUAUCGCCUUUAGAUGGGCCCGCGUUGGAUUAGCUAGUUGGUGGGGUAAAGGCCUACCAAGGCGACGAUCCAUAGCUGGUCUGAGAGGAUGAUCAGCCACACUGGGACUGGGACACGGCCCAGACUCCUACGGGAGGCAGCAGUGGGAAGUAUUGGACAAUGGGCGAAAGCCUGAUCCAGCAAUGCCGCGUGAGUGAUGAAGGCCUUAGGGGUUGUAAAGGCUCUUUUACCAGGGAAGAUGAUGACUGUACCUGGAGAAUAAGCCCGGCUAACUUCGUGCCAGCAGCCGC
rnacentral:rRNA from 1 species